rnacentral:rRNA from 1 species
AGCGAACGCUGGCGGCAGGCUUAACACAUGCAAGUCGAACGCAUCCUUCGGGGUGAGUGGCAGACGGGUGAGUAACACGUGGGAACGUACCUCUUUGUUCGGAAUAGCUUUUGGAAACGAAAGGUAAUACCGGAUACGCCCUUUUGGGGAAAGAUUUAUCGCAGAGAGAUCGGCCCGCGUCUGAUUAGCUAGUUGGUGAGGUAAUGGCUCACCAAGGCGACGAUCAGUAGCUGGUCUGAGAGGAUGAUCAGCCACACUGGGACUGAGACACGGCCCAGACUCCUACGGGAGGCAGCAGUGGGGAAUAUUGGAAAAUGGGCGCAAGCCUGAUCCAGCCAUGCCGCGUGAGUGAUGAAGGCCUUAGGGCUGUAAAGCUCUUUUGUCCGGGAAGAUAAUGACUGUACCGGAAGAAUAAGCCCCGGCUAACUUCGUGCCAGCAGCCGCAGUAA